CAACGAAUCUUCCGCAAUGCGCGAAAGCGUGACGGAGCAAUGCCGCGUGCAGGAUGAAGCCCCUCGGGGUGUAAACUGCUGUCAGGGUUCAGCAACACAAUGAGCAGACCCAAAGGAAGGGCCGGCUAACUUCGUGCCAGCAGCCGCGGUAAUACGAAGGGCCCGAGCGUUGCGCGGAAUCAUUGGGCUUAAAGCGUACGUAGGCGGACACUCAGGCACCUUGUGAAAUCCCUCGGCUCAACCGAGGAAUUGCUUGGUGAACCGUUUGUCUUGAGGCAAGUAGGGGCUGUCGGAACGAUAGGUGGAGCGGUGAAAUGCGUUGAUAUCUAUCGGAACGCCAAAGGUGAAGACAGGCAGCUGGGCUUGUUCUGACGCUGAGGUACGAAAGCGUGGGGAGCGAACGGGAUUAGAUACCCCCGUAGUCC
rnacentral:rRNA from 1 species